rnacentral:rRNA from 1 species
UACGUAGGGUGCGAGCGUUAAUCGGAAUUACUGGGCGUAAAGGGUGCGCAGGCGGCCGCGCAAGUCGAGUGUGAAAGCCCCGGGCUUAACUUGGGAAUUGCGCUCGAAACUACGUGGCUGGAGUAUGGCAGAGGAAGGUGGAAUUCCACGUGUAGCGGUGAAAUGCGUAGAGAUGUGGAGGAACACCGAUGGCGAAGGCAGCCUUCUGGGCCAAUACUGACGCUCAUGCACGAAAGCGUGGGGAGCAAACAGG